rnacentral:rRNA from 1 species
UGAGGAAUAUUGGUCAAUGGGGGCAACCCUGAACCAGCCAAGUCGCGUGAAGGAUGAAGGUCUUAUGGAUUGUAAACUUCUUUUAUACAGGAAUAAAUUGGGGGACGUGUCCCCUUUUGCAUGUACUGUAUGAAUAAGGAUCGGCUAACUCCGUGCCAGCAGCCGCGGUAAUACGGAGGAUCCGAGCGUUAUCCGGAUUUAUUGGGUUUAAAGGGUGCGCAGGCGGGAUGUUAAGUCGGCGGUGAAAUUUUGCAGCUCAACUGGAAAAGUGCCUUCGAUACUGGCUUCCUUGAGUGUGGAUGAGGUAGGCGGAAUUUGUGGUGUAGCGGUGAAAUGCUUAGAUAUCACGAGGAACUCCGAUUGCGCAGGCAGCUUACUAAGCCACAACUGACGCUCAUGCACGAAG